GACGAACGCUGGCGGCGUGCCUAAUACAUGCAAGUCGAACGCAGUGGGGACGGGUGAGUAACACGUGGGUAACCUCCCAUCAGAGGGGAUAACACUUGGAAACAGGUGCUAAACCGAUACUGAUGGAUGGAACCGCGGUGCAUUAGCUAGUUGGUGAGGUAACGGCUCACCAAGGCCACGAUGCAUAGCCGACCUGAGAGGGUGAGCGGCCAAACUUGGGCCGGGACACGGCCCAGACUCCUUCGGGAGGCAGCAGUAGGGAAACUUCGGCAAUUGACGAAAGUCUGACCGAGGAACGCCGCGGGAGGGAAGAAGGUUUUCGGAUCGGAAAGCUCUGUUGUAAGGGAAGCGGUAUCUUACCAGAAAGCGACGGCUAACUACGUGCCAGCAGCCGCGGUAAUUC
rnacentral:rRNA from 1 species